rnacentral:rRNA from 1 species
GUUGUUGGGUAGGGGAGCGUUCUGUAAGCCUGUGAAGGUGGCCUGUGAGGGUUGCUGGAGGUAUCAGAAGUGCGAAUGCUGACAUAAGUAACGAUAAAGCGGGUGAAAAGCCCGCUCGCCGGAAGACCAAGGGUUCCUGUCCAACGUUAAUCGGGGCAGGGUGAGUCGACCCCUAAGGCGAGGCCGAAAGGCGUAGUCGAUGGGAAACGGGUUAAUAUUCCCGUACUUGGUGUUACUGCGAAGGGGGGACGGAGAAGGCUAUGUUGGCCGGGCGACGGUUGUCCCGGUUUAAGCGUGUAGGUGUGUGUUCCAGGUAAAUCCGGUUCACUUUAACACUGAGGCGUGACGACGAGGCACUACGGUGCUGAAGCAACAAAUGCCCUGCUUCCAGGAAAAGCCUCUAAGCAUCAGGUAACAUCAAAUCGUACCCCAAACCGACACAGGUGGUCAGGUAGAGAAUACCAAGGCGCUUGAGAGAACUCGGGUGAAGGAACUAGGCAAAAUGGUGCCGUAACUUCGGGAGAAGGCACGCUGACACGUAGGUGAAGUGAUUUACUCAUGGAGCUGAAGUCAGUCGAAGAUACCAGCUGGCUGCAACUGUUUAUUAAAAACACAGCACUGUGCAAACACGAAAGUGGACGUAUACGGUGUGACGCCUGCCCGGUGCCGGAAGGUUAAUUGAUGGGGUCAGCGCAAGCGAAGCUCCUGAUCGAAGCCCCGGUAAACGGCGGCCGUAACUAUAACGGUCCUAAGGUAGCGAAAUUCCUUGUCGGGUAAGUUCCGACCUGCACGAAUGGCGUAAUGAUGGCCAGGCUGUCUCCACCCGAGACUCAGUGAAAUUGAACUCGCUGUGAAGAUGCAGUGUACCCGCGGCAAGACGGAAAGACCCCGUGAACCUUUACUAUAGCUUGACACUGAACAUUGAGCCUUGAUGUGUAGGAUAGGUGGGAGGCUUUGAAGUGUGGACGCCAGUCUGCAUGGAGCCGACCUUGAAAUACCACCCUUUAAUGUUUGAUGUUCUAACGUGGACCCGUUA